rnacentral:rRNA from 1 species
UACGUAGGGACCAAGCGUUGUUCGGAUUUACUGGGCGUAAAGGGCGCGUAGGCGGCUUGACAAGUCACUUGUGGAAUCUCCGGGCUUAACUCGGAACGGCCAAGUGAAACUGUCAUGCUAGAGUGCAGAAGGGGCAAUCGGAAUUCUUGGUGUAGCGGUGAAAUGCGUAGAUAUCAAGAGGAACACCUGAAGUGAAGACGGGUUGCUGGGCUGACACUGACGCUGAGGCGCGAAAGCCAGGGGAGCAAACGGG